rnacentral:rRNA from 1 species
UACGUAGGGGGCAAGCGUUAUCCGGAAUUACUGGGUGUAAAGGGAGCGUAGACGGUAAUGUAAGUCUGGAGUGAAAGGCGGGGGCCCAACCCCCGGACUGCUCUGGAAACUAUGUUACUAGAGUGCAGGAGAGGUAAGCGGAAUUCCUAGUGUAGCGGUGAAAUGCGUAGAUAUUAGGAGGAACACCAGUGGCGAAGGCGGCUUACUGGACUGUAACUGACGUUGAGGCUCGUAAGCGUGGGGAGCAAACAGG